GGGGAUGCAUUGCAUCGACAGGAAAGCACAUUAAAAACUGCAAGCCGACUUUGAUGACAGUCGUCCCGCUGAUAGUUUUCAGUCGGGAUCCCGCCAUCGGCGGUGAUAAAACAGGGUCAAAAAAUAAAUGCUAACGAUCAAAAGUUAGCGUACGCAUUUGCUUAUAAUUAAGUAAUUUCGUACUGUUCAUUAAAUCUUUUCUCAACGAGAUUUUAUGGGCAUAAAUAAAGUUGAGAUAUAAAUAAAAAGUUGGUUGGCUUUUUAUCCGAAAAUUUCAACCUUUGCUUUGUUUGUUUCCUUCCGAUUUGGAGAAAAUAAAGCGAGACUUAAAAAUCGGAUAAGCUUGUAGAUGUUUUUGGUUCGGCUUUCUUGGACUCGAGCUCACAGCUCGACAUCUCCACAC
rnacentral:tmRNA from 2 species